AAGGGAAUGUUGGGAUUAUUCGGCUGCAGGAUGUUGUUGUUAUUAUUACCGGGAAAAUUCAACGGGUCAUUAGGAAACAGAUUGUUGUUAUUGGUCGGAUUGAAAGGAACAUUGGGAAUAUUGUUGUUUAAAGGAUUGUUAUUGGGGAUGUUGUUAUUGGGAAAGUUGUUGGGAAAGUUGUUAUUGGGAAUGUUGUUAUUGGGAAAGUUAUUAUUGGGAAAGUUGUUGUUGGGAAAGUUGUUAUUGGGAAUGUUGUUAUUUGGAAUGUUGUUAAAAGGGUUAUUGUUGAUGGGGAUGGUGUUGAUUGGCUGCACGGGAAUCGUGGGAUUCUGGGCUCCUAUCGGUGGGACUAAGUUGGGAGUCUGUGGACCGUUAUUGACGUUAACCGAGGGCUGGAUAUUCGAUGGAAAAGUGUUGAUUGGCUGCUGUGGAUUAAAUGGCUGCUGCGGAAUGAAAUUGUUGAUUGGCUGUUGUGGAUUCGUCGGAUUGAUUCCGGGUAUCUGCCCGCCAAUAACCGGCUGAAACUGGCCUCCAAUUGUCGGUUGUUGACCAAUCAAAUUGGUUGACUGCAGCCCGAUCUGACUUGACUGGGCACCACACUGUGGCAUUUGUGUCAAUCCACCAGCAUUGAGCCUGAUUGAUCGCGGUAGUAUAAGGCAAUGCCUUGGCAGUCUUUGCGGCUCAGUUGACCCGUGUUGAGCAGCGGUCUUCCCAGGCUCUGAAUAACCGGAGCGCCGUUCCCGCUGAAUUGGUUGGGAUCAAUGAGAGUGAUGGAAUUGUAAUCAAAGUCGGGGUCAAAGCACACCCUGCUAGGGUCGUAUUGGUUGAGAGGCACAUACGGCUGUACGCGGCUUUCCACGUUGGAGGGAUUAAUUUGGAUAAACUGCGCGCGGUUGUUCGGUUUGUUGUGCUCGGACCGUAGUCCGAUCAGACUGGCCAGCAUGCGCAUCACGGCCUUGACGCUUCCCAUGCAACCGCUAUUUCCACCCUGUAUGCUCAUGUGCUGACCUUGUAGUCCAAGCUGACCGGCGAUCAUUCCGGGAUAGGAAAAACAUGUUGGAGAAGGAUUUUCUGCCCACAGAAAAUGGUAAAACAAUCCGUUCCCUGAAAUGAUAUGUGCAGCAAGCGCAUGUUCCUGUGGUACCCUACCCUUCUGUAUUAUAAAAGUUGCACGGUGCAGGUGAUCGAAUACGGAACGAACGUCAGAUUCCCGGACAAUCUCAACUGGUUACAACCAAAAAAAAAAUUUUAACACGAUUUGCAGAUAAAUUCAGAUAACUCCAUGCCAUAACUGUAACCUAACACCUAAUCUCGCUUCGCACUGUUUCUCCCAUUGCUUCAUUUUCUAGUUUGUUUCCUUUAACGCACCGGUCUGGCUGAUUCGGAGCGGUAUAAAAGGCCUGACUUCGCCCUUAACGAUUAAGUAAGUAUGUAAAGUGUACGCGUUAAAACAUUUAUGUUUUACAAAGAAACUGCGUUGUAAAACAAUCUAUAGUAGAUUAUUAUGUAAACUACGGUUUAA